AUGGAUGGCGACACCACCUUCUUCACAUGGUGGUCCAAGGCCGUCGACGAAUCCCCGGGCUGCCUACGGAAGGGCCUCAACUCCAUCGUGGCACUCUCCGCUUGGUCCAUUUGGAAGCACCGCAUCGCGGUCAUCUUCGAGAACCGGUACCCCUCCAUUGAGGACCUUAUACGCUCGAUUAAAGAUGAUGCCUGCCUCUGGGCUAAGUCGGGUGCUCAAGAGCUUGCUGCGAGUAUCCCUGUAACUUAA
rnacentral:rRNA from 1 species